rnacentral:lncRNA from 1 species
CCAACAUUCCUGGGUUCCAGUGAGGGUCCUCUUCUGGGUUGCAGACUGCUGACUUCUUAUUGUCUUCAUGUCACUGCUAUGCUGGUAGCUCUUAUUUUAAAUGUAUUAUGACUUCUAAAUGCUUUUCUGCCAUGCUUACAUAGAGCCAACCCAGCUACAUCUCAUAUUUGGCAAGUUUAAUGAGUUUCCUCUCCUAUCUCUCUCUUCCAUCAUUAACAUUGUUCUUGAGAUGUUCAAGCAGGCGUGAGCUCAGCCCAACACUCAUAAACCUUGUCCUCUUCUGCCUUUUGGGUCAUGCUGACCUGGUCUUGGGGUAACUACUCUGUGGUCACAUCCUGUUUGCUAGUUGAGCACCCAUCUAAUGGUGUCUUUGCCUCUAUAGCAUUUCCUCCAGAUUACUGAUGACUACAGCACAUGGGAAAGCACCAAAAGCCAGGGUACAAGGCAACCAGAGUGUAUCAGCUGCUUCCCUUCAAUUCACCAGGCCGACCCUAAAGUCCUAAGUCCAGACUAGCCAUGAACUAUUUUCUCACUGUUACCCUAGUCUCCUUAAAACUGUUCUCAAAACUAUUUUUCUACUACUUUGCUGAGUUUAGAAUAAAUACCACCUUGCAUUUGCUAGGUCUUUGAGUUCUGAUUGUGGCAAUUAGCUUUAGCAUCCUCUUUUAUGUCCUCUUAUAAAAACGAUCCACCACCUAGUCCAUAUCUCAAUUUCAUCUUCAAUAUGGCUCCAGACUCCUCCUUCCCUUUGUCUCUCCUUGUUCCAGGUUGCAGUCCUA